GGACCCGCACAAGUAGUGGAGCAUGUGGUUUAAUUCGAUGCAACGCGAAGAACCUUACCAGGGUUUGACAUCCUGCGAAUUUCUGGGAAACCGGAAAGUGCCUUCGGGAGCGCAGUGACAGGUGGUGCAUGGCUGUCGUCAGCUCGUGUCGUGAGAUGUUGGUUAAGUCCCGCAACGAGCGCAACCCACGUCUUUAGUUGCCAGCAUUUAGUUGGGCACUCUAGAGAGACCGCCGGUGAUAAACCGGAGGAAGGUGAGGACGACGUCAAGUCAUCAUGGCCCUUACGAGUAGGGCUACACACGUGCUACAAUGGGGAAUACAGACGGACGCUAAGCCGCGAGGUGGUGCU
rnacentral:rRNA from 1 species